rnacentral:rRNA from 1 species
UUGAUCAUGGCUCAGGAUGAACGCUAGCUACAGGCUUAACACAUGCAAGUCGAGGGGCAGCGGGAUUGAAGCUUGCUUCAAUUGCCGGCGACCGGCGCACGGGUGAGUAACGCGUAUCCAACCUUCCGUACACUCAGGGAUAGCCUUUCGAAAGAAAGAUUAAUACCUGAUGGUAUGAUGAGAUUGCAUGAUAGCAUCAUUAAAGAUUUAUCGGUGUACGAUGGGGAUGCGUUCCAUUAGGUAGUAGGCGGGGUAACGGCCCACCUAGCCAACGAUGGAUAGGGGUUCUGAGAGGAAGGUCCCCCACAUUGGAACUGAGACACGGUCCAAACUCCUACGGGAGGCAGCAGUGAGGAAUAUUGGUCAAUGGACGAGAGUCUGAACCAGCCAAGUAGCGUGAAGGAUGAAGGUCCUACGGAUUGUAAACUUCUUUUAUAAGGGAAUAAACCCUCCCACGUGUGGGAGCUUGUAUGUACCUUAUGAAUAAGCAUCGGCUAACUCCGUGCCAGCAGCCGCGGUAAUACGGAGGAUGCGAGCGUUAUCCGGAUUUAUUGGGUUUAAAGGGAGCGCAGACGGGUCGUUAAGUCAGCUGUGAAAGUUUGGGGCUCAACCUUAAAAUUGCAGUUGAUACUGGCGUCCUUGAGUGCGGUUGAGGUGUGCGGAAUUUGUGGUGUAGCGGUGAAAUGCUUGGAUAUCACGAAGAACUCCGAUUGCGAAGGCAGCACACUAAGCCGUAACUGACGUUCAUGCUCGAAAGUGUGGGUAUCAAACAGGAUUAGAUACCCUGGUAGUCCACACGGUAAACGAUGGAUACUCGCUGUUGGCGAUAUACAGUCAGCGGCUUAGCGAAAGCGUUAAGUAUCCCACCUGGGGAGUACGCCGGCAACGGUGCAACUCAAAUGAAUUGACGG